rnacentral:rRNA from 1 species
AACGGGUGAGUAACACGUGGGUGACCUGCCCCGCACUUCGGGAUAAGCCUGGGAAACUGGGUCUAAUACCGGAUAGGACCGCAUCGUUGGGAUGUGGUGGAAAGUUUUUUCGGUGUGGGAUGGGCCCGCGGCCUAUCAGCUUGUUGGUGGGGUAAUGGCCUACCAAGGCGGCGACGGGUAGCCGGCCUGAGAGGGUGGACGGCCACAUUGGGACUGAGACACGGCCCAGACUCCUACGGGAGGCAGCAGUGGGGAAUAUUGCACAAUGGGCGGAAGCCUGAUGCAGCGACGCCGCGUGGGGGAUGACGGCCUUCGGGUUGUAAACUCCUUUCACCAUCGACGAAGGUUUUCUGACGGUAGAUGGAGAAGAAGCACCGGCUAACUACGUGCCAGCAGCCGCGGUAAUACGUAGGGUGCGAGCGUUGUCCGGAAUUACUGGGCGUAAAGAGCUCGUAGGUGGUUUGUCGCGUCGUCUGUGAAAUUCCGGGGCUCAACUCCGGGCGUGCAGGCGAUACGGGCAUAACUUGAGUACUGUAGGGGAGACUGGAAUUCCUGGUGUAGCGGUGAAAUGCGCAGAUAUCAGGAGGAACACCGGUGGCGAAGGCGGGUCUCUGGGCAGUAACUGACGCUGAGGAGCGAAAGCAUGGGUAGCGAACAGGAUUAGAUACCCUGGUAGUCCAUGCCGUAAACGGUGGGCGCUAGGUGUAGGGGUCUUCCACGACUUCUGUGCCGUAGCUAACGCAUUAAGCGCCCCGCCUGGGGAGUACGGCCGCAAGGCUAAAACUCAAAGGAAUUGACGGGGGCCCGCACAAGCGGCGGAGCAUGUGGAUUAAUUCGAUGCAACGCGAAGAACCUUACCUGGGCUUGACAUGUACGGGAUCGGGCCAGAGAUGGUCUUUCCCUUGUGGCUCGUAUACAGGUGGUGCAUGGUGUCGUCAGCUCGUGUCGUGAGAUGUUGGGUUAAGUCCCGCAACGAGCGCAACCCUUGUCUUAUGUUGCCAGCACGUUAUGGUGGGGACUCGUGAGAAACUGCCGGGGUCAACUCGGAGGAAGGUGGGGAUGACGUCAAAUCAUCAUGCCCCUUAUGUCCAGGGCUUCACACAUGCUACAAUGGUCGGUACAGUGGGUUGCGAUGCCGUGAGGCGGAGCUAAUCCCUUAAAGCCGGUCUCAGUUCGGAUCGGGGUCUGCAACUCGACCCCGUGAAGUCGGAGUCGCUAGUAAUCGCAGAUCA